rnacentral:rRNA from 1 species
UGGGGAAUUUUGGACAAUGGGCGAAAGCCUGAUCCAGCCAUGCCGCGUGAGUGAAGAAGGCCUUCGGGUUGUAAAGCUCUCUCAGCCGGAAAGAAAUCGCGCAGGAUAAUACUCUGCGUGGAUGACGGUACCGGAAGAAGAAGCACCGGCUAACUACGUGCCAGCAGCCGCGGUAAUACGUAGGGUGCGAGCGUUAAUCGGAAUUACUGGGCGUAAAGCGUGCGCAGGCGGUUAUGUAAGACAGAGGUGAAAUCCCCGGGCUCAACCUGGGAACUGCCUUUGUGACUGCAUGGCUAGAGUGCGGCAGAGGGGGAUGGAAUUCCGCGUGUAGCAGUGAAAUGCGUAGAUAUGCGGAGGAACACCGAUGGCGAAGGCAAUCCCCUGGGCCUGCACUGACGCUCAUGCACGAAAGCGUGGGGAGCAAACA